rnacentral:lncRNA from 1 species
GCACCCCAGGCUAGUCUGGGAGGCUGGCGCAAACGCAGCGGGUGGCUGGGGUAGGGGCUCAUUGGGAGCCCACGGAGCGCGGCGGCGGCUCGGGGGCCGAGUUCCCUACAACAAGGAUGGCGGUGACGGGCGCAGGGAGCGGGGCCCGGCUCUCCUUGCCUCGAGGCUCCUCUGAUUCCACUCGCGUGGCUGCGCGGCCCUGGCAGCGGCCUUCGUCCCGGGGGUGGGAGCUACACAGGGUUCCGCCCCGUCCUGGCGAGGACGCCUGAGGGGGCUCUGUGGUAAGGCUCUGUCGGGCAGGCCGGGCUUCCGGGAGGACCUGGUCUGGAUCGGUCACCGCUGGGUGCCUGAGCUCCGCAUGGAGCCUGCAGCCUUUGUUUAACUUAUAAAGAAAUGGGGGCUCCGAGCAGUCAAGAAGAACAUGCCCCAAGUUAUUCGUCAGUGAGGCGGAAAUUGUGGUGUACUUGUUUUCUGUGGGUCAGGAGAUCAGAAAUGGUUCUAUUUCAAGGACUCUCACAGGGCUGCAAUCAAGAUGUUGGCAUGGCUGGGGUCUCAUCUGAAGGCUGGACUGGAGAAGAAUCUACUUCCAAACUUAUGUGGUAGUUGGAAGAAUUUAGUUCCUCAAGGCCGCUAAACUGAUGGCCUGUGUUCCUUGCCUAUGGGAUGGUAGCUUGCUUCAACAAAGUGUGCAAGCAGAGAAGACAGAGAGUCCGCUAGCAAGAUAGAAGCCACAAUCUCUUGUAAUCUAUCAUUUUUGCUGUAUUCUACUGGUUAAAAAUAACUCAUUAGGUUAGCCUACUGGCUCUCAAGGGGAAGAGAUUAUACAAAGGCAUGAAUUUCUGGAGGAGGGAAUGAGGGCAAAGAAUUCUGAGAAGUCUGUCUUCCACAAUCUGAAGAACUUCUAGAAAGUAGGAGGAAGCGAUAUUGCUUAGGGAUGGACAACUUGGCACUGGUUAUGUAUUUCAAGUGAGGUAACCUUGUUCCCAAGAAUAAAGAGAACCAGACGACUGUAAACAUUUCCCUAAACUGAAAUGCAGACUGUUGUAUGUUCCCCUGAAAUGAAUGGUGUAAGCUGAAUAUAAGAUUUUUGACAAAAAUUUUGCUGUGUUCUCAGAUCUGGCAGGCCCCUGCCCUUGUGCAAACAAUGUUCCUGGCAGCUAUUCAUCUCCUUAGGUAAAUAAGAAUUGGAGAAAAGCUGUGCUAAGAUAGGAUGCAUUUGCUCUUGCCUUGGAAGGUUGUUUUCUGAUAAGGUUCUAUAUCCUCAGCAAAUCAAAUCAGGCACUUACAGUGUGAGUAUGCAUUCUCUGCCUGCCAGUCUGGAGAUGAUCAAAAAGCCUAUAACAGGCUUGGCCUAUUUUCCUAUUGGGUUGCUGGGCUUUUUUUUCGUCUUUAUUUACUUGUAGAGAGUUUUAGACCUCUGUGUAUGUAUGGUGUACAAGUGACAAUAUUCAGAUCUGUAAACUGUAACACAGUCUGGGAGCAAAGAAGAUAUAGAAAAAUGACUUUUACUUCCUGCUUGAGUAGUAAAAUUGAGAUUCAAAUUUUGCAUAUAGAAGUACUAUAUGGCUAACUUAUUUGGGGAGCAAAACUGACUUACCAUAAGUCUACCUGAAAUAGAAAUGAAACACUCAAUUUGUGAAAUAUGCUGAGUUUUAAUGUGUGUGGGGGCAAGGUGAAUUAACAUUUGUGAUGCAAGGAGAGGAGCAAUCUAUACUUACCAGUGUCUAUUUGACAUUGUUUGGGGACUACUGUUACACUCUAAGUCACUUUACCUUAUAACGCAGAGUUGUAACACGCUACUCUGAGCAGCUCAUGACAUCUGCUUGAAAUUUAAGUUGGGCCCCUAAUAUGUGUUAAUUAUAAGGACUUUGAUGUUGCUUUUCCGAGUUGGGUAACCUACUUUACCCCCUAAGCUAAUGUUUCCCAAAUACACCCAAACCCACAGAAAGGAAAACUAUUCCUCAUUAACUUACAGCCAACAUCAUAAACAUUUUAUAUCUAGAGCUGAUGAUACAGUCAGGUAUUUACCAACACUCAUGUAUAUAUGUAGAGUUUCAAGAAAUAAUUGCUUACCCUUACUAGAUGCAACAUAUUCUAAUGUUUGACAUAUUAUUUUUAUUUCUUAAUUUUUUUUUAAAGAUGGGGUUUUACUCUGUUGUCCAGGCUGAAAUGCAGUGGCAUGACCAGGAUUUCGACCAGAAGUUUGACUGCAGCCUCGAACUCCUUAUAACAAACAAUCCUGCUGCCUUAGCCUCCUGAGUAGCUAGGACUAUGGACACAUGCCACCAGAUCUGGGAUAUUUUAAAAUUUUUGCAGACAUAGGGUCUCGCCAUGUUGCCCAGGCUGAUUCUGAACUCCUGUUCUCAAGCAAUCCUCCUGCCUGGUCUUCCCAAACUGUUGGGCUUACAGGUGUGAGUCACUGAGCCCAGCUUGUAUUCUUUUGAUUUUAAAAAAAUAUUCUGAAUGUGAUCCACCAAAUUAAUUUCACCAUCCACUAAUAGGUAGCAACCUGAAUGAAAAAUACUGUUAUAAACUUUACACAAAACCAGAGAUUAUAAACAUUUGCCUCCAAGGAGAUGAGAGAGGCAAAAGGUACUUGUUUGCUCUGAUGGGCCCUGUUUCCUUCAGUGCCAGGAAGAGUGGCUCUCAGAUCUUUCUUCUGGCAUCCCUCAUGUAUGCAGUGUUGGUUAUUAUUUUCAAGGCCUUGGUAACAAAAUGCCCCUAGUGUGACCAGUCAGACUGACAGUCCAUAUCUGUAAUAUGGUGGUAAGUUUCCUUUGCAUGUCUUUCUUUCUUGCAUCUUAGACCUUUUACCUAGGAAAUUUUCUUUUUGCUUAAAGUACAUCAUUAAGAAUUUUCAAUGAAGGCAGAUUCUUAAAGUUUUUGUUUUCCAGAAGAGAUCUUGGAAAAUAUAAAAGGUUGGCAGUUAUUUCUUUUAGUACAUGAGAUAGUAUUACACCAAUGCUGUUGAGAAGUCUAUUGUGAGGCAAUGUGUCUUCUUUCUCUGGCUGCUUUUGAGAUUUCUCUCUGUCUUUUUUAGGGGCAGUUUUACUCUUAUGUGACUAGAAGUAGAUUUCUUCUUUUUUUUUUAAUACUGCUUGAGAUUUUAUUGGGUUUUUGAAUCUGUGGAUAUCCUUCAACAGUUCUGAAAGAUUUCCAGCCAUUCUCUUCAUAUAUUAUCUGUGCUGUAUUCUUUUCUCUCCUUUUAGAACUUCAAUUAGUAAAAACAUGUUUGAUGUCUUUUCCCACUAUUGUUUUUUGUUUCUCCCAUGCUGAAUUCUGUGUAAUUUCUUUUGAACUAUCUUGUAGUUUACAUUCUUUUUUUUUUUUUUUUGAGACAGGGUUUUGCUCUUGUUGCUCGGGCUGGAGUGCAAUGGCACCAUCUCAGCUCACUGCAACCUCUGCCUCCCGGGUUCAAGCGAUUCUCCUACCUCAGCCUCCCAAGUAGCUGGGAUUACAGGCAUGUGCCACCACGCCCGGCUAAUUUUUGUAUUCUGAGUAGAGACGGGGUUUCACCAUGUUGGCCAGGCUGGUCUAGAACUCCUGGGUGAUCUACCCUCCUCAGCCUCCCAAAGUGCUGGAUUACAGGUGUGAGCCACCGUGCCAGGCCUUACAUUCUCUCUCUUUAAGAGAGAAUGUAAGGUAUCUAAAUCUGCUGCUAAACCAUCAUUGUUUUUAAUUGUAAUAAGGUCUCUUUUAUGUACUCACAUUGAUAAGAGACAAGUAGUAAAUAAUCUUUAAAGGGCAAACUAAUUUAAAUGUGUUUUCCUGUCUGUUUACAGGACUUAGCAAAUGCACAUCUUAGAGUUCUGGGUUUCUAAUGUGUAUCUCCUCUAUGAAAUUCUUUAAAAAUAUCUGUUCUUGGUAUCCCUUAGGUUAGUCUCUUUUAGAACUUCUAAAUCAAUGGACCCUUAACUUAUAGGAGCCACCUGGACGUUAGCAACAUCUACAUUAAACAUGCUGAGCUUUUAAAAGAGGCCUGUUAGACAUGCUGAGUAUUUUGAGAUAAUAUCAUUGUUGUAUUGAAAGCUAUUGAAAACUUUAAUUUUAAAAUGCAAACGUUCUUAAAGUCCUGGUUGAUUUUAUAACUAUAAAAUUAGUUAUAAUUUUGAGAUUUCUGUCUUGUUUUUUUAUAGGGGCAGUUUUACUCUUAGGUAACUAGAUUUCUUCUUUUUUAUAAUCAUAAAAUUAGGUUUACUUUUGUUAGAAUAAAUUAAAGACAGUGAAUUUGUAAUUUGAAUAACUACUAAAAAUACACAUGAUGUAUUCUUAUUUGGGCCCUUGUGACGAAAAUACUAUUGUGGCUACAGAAACCUAUCCUAUAGUUUGAAGAACUGAGAUUACUGUCAGUAUUGAGAACAUUCCUCCUUCAUCAUUAGAAAGAUUAUAAAAAACCAGAUUCAAAGAAACUAUCAAUACUACUUAUGAAGUAUGUCUGUAAAAAAAAUUAAGCCUGAAUCUUAUCAGGCCUCUAGACCAGGGGUUCUCAAGGUAUGGGCUCCAGACCAGAAGUAUCAGCAACAAAUUGCUAAAAAUGCAGAGUCUUGGGUCAGAAAUUGGGGACCAGCAAUUGGAAUUUUACUAAGUAUACCAGAUGAUUCAGAUGCCUGCUCAAUUUUGAGGAUGACUCUUAUCAGUUUAGUUAUUAGGGUUUACAGGGGAUGGGGAACAUGUUAAAGAACACCAACUAGAUAAGGUCAAUCAGGCAAAAGUAAGAUGUCUGGACAUUCUGGGCCUCUUGAUGUCUUAGAAAGCACACAAUACCAUCUAUGAUGUGUUUUUGUCCACCAUCCCACCCAACUGCACCUGGAUCUUCCUAUUUAUAGGCAAUUAGAACAAGUUCAGUGUUACCCUGUAAUGAUUAAAACCCAAAUACAGGACUGCUAUAGCAUAAAUGACCACUUUCUUCAAUAAGUGGCACAUUAAAAAUAUAUUUAUAUAUAUAAUUGUUAUAGAUAAAAAAACAACAAAAUGGCUGGGCGUGGUGGCUCACACCUGUAAUCCCAGCACUUUGGGAGGCCAAGGCGGGCAGAUCACAAGGUCAGGAGAUUGAGACCAUCCUGGCCAACAUGGUGAAACCUCGUCUCUACUAAAAAUAGAAAAAUUAGCUGGCGUGCAUCUGUAGUCCCAGCUGCUGGGGAGGCUGAGGCAGGAGAAUCGCUUGAAUCUGGGAGGCGGAGGUUGCAGUGAGCCAUGAUCGGACCACUGCACUCCAGCCAGGGUGACAGAGCAACACUAUGUCUCAAACAAACAAAAACACGACAACAAAAUAAAGCUUAAGGAACAUCAACCAAAUGCAAUAUAUGAGCCCUAUUUAGGAUACUAUAAAAAGACAUUCACAAUAACACAGGCAAAAUGAACAUAAACUAGGUAUAGGUGACAGAGAAAUCCAAUAAACAUUGAAUUAUUCACUGGGGAAAGAAAUGAUGUGUGGGAUUUAAGUCUCUAACUCUCCCCUAUUUACGCCAAAAGAUUGUCCAUGAGUUGAAAACUUAGAGAUGGGUGACAACGCAAGAGAGAUUAUAGUGUCUUCCUUGUAUGCUUGUAAAUGUCAAAAAUAAAAGUAAUUUAAAACUAAAACAAACAUGAAACCAUAAUUCUUAAGAUGCAGCUUGAAUUCAGUUAACUAUAGCAGUUGUAUAUGAAGCAUUUCAAAGAAGUUAAUGACAUCACAGUAUUAAAUCCAUCUGACAUGGAAACCAACUCUAACUACAUCAUAGUUUUUUUUUGUUGUUGAUGUUUUUUGUUUGAGAUGGAGUCUCGCUCUGCCGUCAGGCUGGAGUACAGUGGCGUGACAGCUCACUGCAACCUCUGCCUCCUGGAUUUGAGCAAUUCUCCUGCCUCAAUCUCCUGAGUAGCUGGGACUAUAGGCGCAUGCCACCACGUCCAGCUAAUUUUUGUAUUUUUAGUAGAGACGAGAUUUCACCAUGUUGGCCAGGAUGGUCUCGGUAUCUUGAUCUUGUGAUCCGCCUGCCUCGGCCUCCCAAAGUGGUGGGAUUAUAGGCGUGAACCACCGGCACCUGGCCUAUGGCACAGUUUUAAAACUGCAUUUGCCUAGAAAGUGGACUGCUGUAUAUAGACCAAGUGUUGGGCUAUAUAUGACUGCAUUGUCUUAGGCUAUUUGGGGUUGGAGGAAGGAAGAGGCGUGAAGUAGAAAAGGAACAAGCUAAUAAAUGUUUUUUAAAAAGUAGAAUUUAAAACAAAACCACGUUCAGCUGAACACCAGAACGCAACACCAGGAUAAAAAUCCAAUUUUCAAAGAGCUAGAAGAUCAAGCUAAGCACUUACUGUAUUUUGCUGAACGUUAAAAUUAUAUAAAUGUACUACAGUUGCCUCAAGAUGUUAAAAAGUCAGCUUUUCAAAUCUAGUCACGGCCUACUCAUAUGACAGACCCAAUUCAAAUGAGCAAAAUUGAAAAGUUACACAUACAGACAACUUCUC